UCCUGGCUUAGGAUGAACGCUGGCGGCGUGCUUAACACAUGCAAGUCGAACGAAGCGCUUAAACAGAUUUCUUCGGAUUGACGUUUUAGUGACUUAGUGGCGGACGGGUGAGUAACGCGUGGGUAACCUACCCUGUACAGGGGGAUAACAGUUAGAAAUGACUGCUAAUACCGCAUAAGCGCACAGUAUCGCAUGAUACAGUGUGAAAAACUUUUGUGGUACAGGAUGGACCCGCGUCUGAUUAGCUAGUUGGUGAGGUAACGGCCCACCAAGGCAACGAUCAGUAGCCGACUUGAGAGAGUGAUCGGCCACAUUGGGACUGAGACACGGCCCAAACUCCUACGGGAGGCAGCAGUGGGGAAUAUUGCACAAUGGGGGAAGCCCUGAUGCCAGCGACGCCGCGUGAAGGAUGAAGUAUUUCGGUAUGUAAACUUCUAUCAGCAAGGAAGAAAAAUGACGGUACUUGACUAAGAAGCCCCGGCUAAAUACGUGCCAGCCGCUGC
rnacentral:rRNA from 1 species